rnacentral:rRNA from 1 species
UACGUAGGGCGCGAGCGUUGUCCGGAAUCAUUGGGCGUAAAGAGCUCGUAGGCGGCCGGUUGCGUCUGCUGUUAAAUCCCGGGGCUUAACUCCGGGCCUGCAGUGGGUACGGGCUGACUAGAGUGCGGUAGGGGAGACUGGAAUUCCUGGUGUAGCGGUGAAAUGCGCAGAUAUCAGGAGGAACACCGGUGGCGAAGGCGGGUCUCUGGGCCGUAACUGACGCUGAGGAGCGAAAGCGUGGGGAGCGAACAGG